UUGUCAAGCUCUAAUAUUUGGACUUUAUUAUCUUGUCUUUUUUGAAGAAAUGUCAUACUUUAAUCAUUUUUGUGUUGGUGUUGUUUUUGUUGUUAUCAUUGUCAUUGUUAGUAUGCAAAAUUAAUACUUUAAUGUAGACGAUUUCUCAAACAGUGUUAGAGGUAUUAACAUGAACUUGGAGUUAUAACAAAUGAUACGCAGUUCUGUUUGCCAAUGGUCUUAUUUUGAUAUAUUUAUAUCUGCAUUAAUCGACCAUGAGUCAAUGACGCUACCUAAUUCUUUAUAACAUCUGUACUUUCUUGAAAAAAAAUCAUCUUAAAAUGUACACAAAUAUAGGAAUUCUUUAUUGAAUGCUCAUCUAAGGUUAUAUGGGCAUUCAACCAUUAACAUAUAGCCAUUAUAACAUGUCAAAACUGUUUGUAAAUUAAAUUUUAUAUACAUGUUUGUACAUGUACUCUUUGUAUUUCAUAAAUAUUUUUAUUUCUAGGUACGUUGAAGUAGGAAAGAUGGAAAACCCACCAGAAAAACUUUUGCCCACACAAUUCGUGCUACCUCAAGGUAUUGAAAUAAAGCCAUUGGGAGAAUACAGGAGUGAUAUAUACUGUGUGGAAGAGCCGUCAGUGUGUAAGAGAUCAUCAGAACUGUAUGUACAGUAUGUUAACUGCGGCAUGCACGGGGCAUCGGAACCUUCAGCUCAAAAUAAAGAAAUCUACAGAAACUAUAUAAGGAAACUGUAUCAGUAAUGAACAUGUAUUAAAAAAGGGCACAAAAUAUGUUGAAAAUAAAAAAUCAGGAAAAUGAAUGGGAAAGUCAUUUGUUAGGACCUAAAAUAAACACACAAACCACACAAACAUGAACAUUCUGUUUGUUUGGACCUACAGAAUAUAGGAUAUUUGUGACAUUUUGUUAAGAUUAAGUUCCCUAGCUUUUUUAAUGGAGUUACAUUAAAAAAAAAACAAAAAACAUGUCACUUCUGGAUGGAUUUUCUUAUAAUAAGACACAUGCCUCUUCUUUCUUUGAGUAGUCUGGGUUCCAGUUACUUCAUUUUGCAUGUGCUUUUUUUUUUGGGGGGGGGGGGGGG